UAGAAAGGGGAGAACAUUGGAGCCAUUACC
rnacentral:piRNA from 1 species